UAUAAAUAACGGCGCUCUCGGGAGGGUCGGUCUCUUCUCCUCCUGUGCAGCGGCAGUGUGUUUAUAGUGGAGCGGAUUGAAGCUGUUAAAUUCUCCUCGAUAUAAUGUUUAAUACUGGAGCUUUAACUAUGAACACUCUAAGGCCUCCUUGAUCGAAUGCACGUGGCUUGUCUGUCUGGAAGGAAAACUCCAGCUUGAGCAUCAGCUACAGCAGGAAACUGACUUCAGGAUACCACUGGACCUGAUCUGAAUCUGAGUACAGAUGGAGGAGGAGGAUGAGAUGGUGUAGUCCUUGAUGGCUAAAGGACAUGUAAUGGGUGCAAGCUGGAGGCAAAACAAAGGGUAAACUGGAGCUGGCCAAUACAAACCAGUAGUCGGCUACAUGAGGAAUGCAAAUCUUGUUGCACCAGAAAAUGCAGCUCCACCUUAAAUAGUAUUGUGGUUGCAUGGCUGUAAUAAACUGAUGUCAGGAUAAAGAAUUAGUGAUAACUUGCUCAUCUCAUAGCAUGGCUAACAUAACAGGUAAGUUAUGUAUUCAUUGUGGUUUCAAAUGAUUUUGGCUAUGUACCCAGCCAUGAAAGUGCAGUUUGCUGUCAAGAGGUUCCUGCUCUGUUUACAAUGACCACAACCUGGUACAGUUGUCUUCCGUCCUUGCUGCUGGCUGGACAGGACUUCAGAUAUUCCCAUUCAGUGCACAGUUUUAGGCAUCUAACUUAAAAGCCCUCAGUUUUUCUUUACUAUACACUUGUUUUUCUAUCAGGUGUAGAUGUCUGUUCACUCAACUGGAGGUCACAGUCCAUCCACUGAUGGAGCAUGUAUGGGUCAGCCAAUCUCGUUCUGUCAAAGUUCAAUUUUUUUUCAAAUAAUUGAGUGACCUAACAUAGUCCUGAUAAAUUCACAUUUUGACCAGUUCAAAUCUUUCUGCACCCCCCCCCCCCAAAAAAAACCACAAUGUUUACUAGCAGAAAAAGGGUCUGUAGUUCAGGGAAGAUCACAUGACUGCUAUUGCUUAGUAUGUUGGAAUGUAUGAAGGCUGUGUAAAUAAAGAGAUUUAAUCCAAA